rnacentral:misc_RNA from 1 species
CGCACAUUGCGCCCCGUGGUAUUCCGCGGGGCAUGCCUGUUCGAGCGUCGGUUGAACCCCCCUCGUCCGGUGCUACCACGGCGCCGGGUAGGCCUUGGGCGUCGUUUUCCGCCGGAACCCCCGGUAGGAGACGCCUUCAACCUGUCGGCGGCGGCGCUGAGCCCUAGACGUAACGGAUUAAGCGUCUCGAAGGGUUCCGGUGUCCGCCGGCCCACGCAGCAGACGGGAUAAAACCCCUCUAGACCACGUUCUGACCUCGGAUCAGGUAGGGAUACCCGCUGAACUUAA